GAUCAUGGCUCAGAACGAACGCUGGCGGCAGGCUUAACACAUGCAAGUCGAGCGAGACCUUCGGGUCUAGCGGCGGACGGGUGAGUAACGCGUGGGAACGUGCCCUUCUCUACGGAAUAGCCCCGGGAAACUGGGAGUAAUACCGUAUACGCCCUUUGGGGGAAAGAUUUAUCGGAGAAGGAUCGGCCCGCGUUGGAUUGGGUAGUUGGUGGGGUAAUGGCCCACCAAGCCGACGAUCCAUAGCUGGUUUGAGAGGAUGAU
rnacentral:rRNA from 1 species